rnacentral:rRNA from 1 species
UUGUAAUGUGAGCAGCCUGGGUGCGUCAGUGCAGGUAAGUGACAUGAAAAUGUUCGCCGUGGAGGGUGAGAGCCCCGUCCAGCCUGCACAGGGCGUGCCGUACAGGGCUGUCUCGAAUGAGUCGGGUAGCUUGGGAAUGCUGCUCUAAGAUCGGUGGUAAAUUUCAUCGAAGGCUAAAUACUGCUGGAAGACCGAUAGUGAACAAGUACCGUGAGGGAAAGAUGAAAAGCACUUUGAAAAGAGGGUGAAAAGAAUCUGAAACCGUUGUGAGGGAAGCGGAUUGCGUUGCAGUAACUGUGGGCGCCGGUGUGUUCAGCCUGUUUCGGCGGGUGUAGUGGCACCGGUGGCUCCGUCUGCUGUGAGUUUGUGGUGGCUGAUUGCAAGGCUGCUGCGGACUGAGGGCUCCGUGCUGCUUUGCGGCGGCACGUGAGGACGGCAGGGUGACGACGCGAUACGACCCGUCUUGAAACACGGACCAAGGAGUCUAGCACAGCUGCGAGUCUGAGGGUGUCAAAGCCUGUGGGCGAAGUGAAAGCGAAAGAUGGCGGUAAUUCCAUAAUUUCAGAAUGACAAAGUUGUUGCAAUUUGGGG